GAAAAGUCUUUACAAAUUUUGACUAGGCAACCCUGGUCAAAAACAGAGCAUCUGAAUUCACCUGAGGAGAGCUCUAGCAAAGGCAAUGUCUCUCCAUUCUUCAGCUUUAUGAAGAAGCUCUGGGACAUUGUUGAAAGCAGUCGGUUUGAGUCCAUUUGGUGGGGUGACAAUGGAAAGUGUGUAGUGAUUCAUGAAGAAUUGUUCAAAAAGGAAGUACUAGCAAGGAGAGGAUGUCUGAGAAUUUUUGAAAGUGAGACCAUGAAAAGCUUCAGUCGUCAACUCCAUCGGUAUGGAUUCACGAAAAGGCUGUGGAAUUUUCCAAAAUUGGGCUCACACAUUGACUUGCUAGCAGAAGAAACAACUGGGGAGAUGUGCAGUUCUCUUGUGGCACUUGCUGAAGGCUGAGAAGGUACGUGCCAGCAUCAUAUAGUUACCUACAUGUUCAUUCCACGCUAAAGUUGCUCAAAAGUAAUGGUAUUUGGGUUUCUAAAUCAGUUUGUAUGCUUUUGAUAAUCCUACGCUUCUCUGCUACUAAGCGGCAAAACCACAAGGCUGGUUCCUACUUAACAGGACUGUUUUGCACCAUUUUAUUCAGCCUAAACUUCAGGUUUAGAACACCCCCAAUAGUCCUUUUUAACAUCUACAUUUCUCUUUUGCAAUUAAAAUUCUUAGUUCUCCUAUCUUUGUGGUUUCCAGUCUCAAGGUGGUGGCAACUAACUCUUUUCCUUUGCAUAUUUUAGUUUCACUUCUACUACAACCCAAACUUUAGAAGACAUUUUCCGUAUCUGCUCAUGAAGUAUAAGCGAAGCUUUGGUCCAAAAAAUCAAACACCAGCAGGAUUUUCACCGGACAUGGAUUUGCACGCACGCCACCAGAAAAGAAAACCAGACGCUGAGCUUGUGUGGGAAACCACUUUCGAGGAGGAAAGCGGUCCGUUCACAGCAGGUCCAAGGGAGAAUGUGCACACCUCUGCACCCAGGAAGACCGCACCUGCCAAGCGACGUGCCUCUACAUCUGCACGAAGCGCUGCUCUGACACGUGCAGACGCUGCGGCAGCGGUAGGCAGGGAGAAGCUCAACCCUCUGGCCCCCUCCCUUUUGCUGCAGCACAGCAGCCCCGGCCCGGCUGCCGCUUCUGCUGCCACUGCCGCUUCACGGGGUUGCGCCGUGCCAGCCGUGCCCAACAGUCCCUUUCCACCAGGGCUGGCACGUCCCACCUCUCCAGCUGGGCUGGCAGCAGCCGCUGCUCUGUCUAUGCCAAGGCCACCUCAGGGCCAAACUGCACCAGACCACCGCUGCCUGACUUGCACUUGUGGUCCAAACAGCAGACCUGCAGGCGAUGGCCUUGGACCCCAACCCGGGGCACGCUAGGUGCCUUCCGCAGCUCUUCUAGAAGUUGCGUAGUCCAAGGGAAUAGAGUCUCUUAAGUGUUCCAAUAAACUAUCUGAAUAAAAAGCCUCUG